GACGAACGCUGGCGGCGCGCUUAACACAUGCAAGUCGAGCGAGCGGCGGACGGGUGAGUAACACGUAUCCAACCGGCCCUUUACUCGGGGAUAGCCUUUCGAAAGAAAGAUUAAUACCCUAUAUAAAGGAUGGGGAUGCGUUCCAUUAGGUUGUUGGUGAGGGACCGGUUCACCUAGCAUUCGAUGGAUAGGGGUUAUGAGAGGAAGGUCCCCCACAUGGGAACUGGGCCACGGUCCAAACUCCUACGGGAGGCAGCAGUGAGGAGGAUUGGUCAAUGGGCCCUAGCCGGACCCUGCCAAGUAGCGUGAAGGAUGAAGGAUUAUUGGUCGUAAACUUCUUUUAUAUAAGAAUAUGUAUUAUAUGAAUAAGGAUCGGCUAACUCCGUGCCAGCAGCCGCGGUAAUUC
rnacentral:rRNA from 1 species